GCGGAGCAGGGAGCCCGAUGCGGGGCUCAACCCCAGGACCCUGGGAUCAUGACCUGAGCGGGAGGCAGACGCUUCACGACUGAGCCACCCAGGCGCCCCAACCAGACCAGUUCUGGUAGGGGAUCUGGGCACCGUUCCUGGAAGCUUAGCCCAGUCCUCAAGCCAUCUUACAGGUCAUUCAUUCCAGGGAACUUGACAGCAGCCCGGAACCCCAGCCCAGUCCACAAACCACAGUGUCGGGGUCUCCCUCUCA
rnacentral:lncRNA from 1 species